GGGCCCGUAGCUCAAUUGGUAGAGCGCGUGCAUGGCAUGCACGAGGCAAGGGGAUCGUAACCCCUCGGGUCCACCA
rnacentral:tRNA from 2 species